rnacentral:rRNA from 1 species
UACGGAGGGUGCGAGCGUUGUCCGGAAUCACUGGGCGUAAAGGGCGCGUAGGCGGCCUGGCAAGUCGAUGGUGAAAGCCCGAGGCUCAACUUCGGGUCGGCCACUGAUACUGGAUGGCUUGAGUUCGGGAGAGGGAUGCGGAAUUCCAGGUGUAGCGGUGAAAUGCGUAGAUAUCUGGAGGAACACCGGUGGCGAAGGCGGCAUCCUGGACCGACACUGACGCUGAGGAGCGAAAGCCAGGGGAGCAAAACGGG